GACGAACGCUGGCGGCGUGCAUAACACAUGCAAGUCGAACGAUGAAACUUAGAUGAUUUCUUCGGAAUGAACUUAAGCGGAUUAGUGGCGAACGGGUGAGUAACACGUGAGUAACCUGCCUUACACAAGGGGAUAGCCUUUGGAGACGAAGAAUAAUACCCUAUAACGUCAAUUUAUCGCAUGAUAGAAUGACCAAAGAUUUAUCGGUGUAAGAUGGACUUGCGUCUGAUUAGCUAGUUGGUGAGAUAAAGGCCCACCAAGGCAACGAUCAGUAGCCGGCUUGAGAGAGUGUACGGCCACAUUGGGACUGAGACACGGCCCAAACUCCUACGGGAGGCAGCAGUGGGGAAUUUUGCACAAUGGGGGAAACCCUGAUGCAGCGACGCCGCGUGAUUUAGAAGGCCUUCGGGUUGUAAAAAUCUUUUUUAUGGGAUGAAAAUGACAGUACCAUAAGAAUAAGGUCCGGCUAAAUACGUGCCAGCAGCCGCGGUAAUACGUAUGGACCGAGCGUUGUCCGGAAUCAUUGGGCGUAAAGGGUACGUAGGCGGCCCAGUAAGUUAGAAGUGAAAUAAUAUAGCUCAACUAUAUAAAGCUUUUAAAACUGCUAGGCUUGAGAGAUGGAAGGGAAAGUGGAAUUUCUAGUGUAGCGGUGAAAUGCGCAGAUAUUAGGAAGAAUACCGGUGGCGAAGGCGACUUUCUGGUCAUCAUCUGACGCUGAGGUACGAAAGCGUGGGUAGCAAACAGGAUUAGAUACCCUGGUAGUCCACGCUGUAAACGAUGAGUGUUAGGUUCUUGGAAUAAUCUGGGAGCCGCAGCUAACGCA
rnacentral:rRNA from 1 species